UGACCAUCCUUCACUUGGAGAAGGACCGAAGGCCAUACGGACAGCCGGGUCAAAUGCCGA
rnacentral:sRNA from 1 species